rnacentral:rRNA from 1 species
CGAAAGAAAAAGAGUGGCGAACGGGUGAGUAACACGUGGGUAACCUGCCCAUCAGAAGGGGAUAACACUUGGAAACAGGUGCUAAUACCGUAUAACACUAUUUUCCGCAUGGAAGAAAGUUGAAAGGCGCUUUUGCGUCACUGAUGGAUGGACCCGCGGUGCAUUAGCUAGUUGGUGAGGUAACGGCUCACCAAGGCAACGAUGCAUAGCCGACCUGAGAGGGUGAUCGGCCACACUGGGACUGAGACACGGCCCAGACUCCUACGGGAGGCAGCAGUAGGGAAUCUUCGGCAAUGGACGAAAGUCUGACCGAGCAACGCCGCGUGAGUGAAGAAGGUUUUCGGAUCGUAAAACUCUGUUGUUAGAGAAGAACAAGGAUGAGAGUAGAACGUUCAUCCCUUGACGGUAUCUAACCAGAAAGCCACGGCUAACUACGUGCCAGCAGCCGCGGUAAUACGUAGGUGGCAAGCGUUGUCCGGAUUUAUUGGGCGUAAAGCGAGCGCAGGCGGUUUCUUAAGUCUGAUGUGAAAGCCCCCGGCUCAACCGGGGAGGGUCAUUGGAAACUGGGAGACUUGAGUGCAGAAGAGGAGAGUGGAAUUCCAUGUGUAGCGGUGAAAUGCGUAGAUAUAUGGAGGAACACCAGUGGCGAAGGCGGCUCUCUGGUCUGUAACUGACGCUGAGGCUCG